rnacentral:rRNA from 2 species
GUGCUUGCACCUGAUUGAUUUUGGUCGCCAACGAGUGGCGGACGGGUGAGUAACACGUAGGUAACCUGCCCAGAAGCGGGGGACAACAUUUGGAAACAGAUGCUAAUACCGCAUAACAGCGUUGUUCGCAUGAACAACGCUUAAAAGAUGGCUUCUCGCUAUCACUUCUGGAUGGACCUGCGGUGCAUUAGCUUGUUGGUGGGGUAACGGCCUACCAAGGCGAUGAUGCAUAGCCGAGUUGAGAGACUGAUCGGCCACAAUGGGACUGAGACACGGCCCAUACUCCUACGGGAGGCAGCAGUAGGGAAUCUUCCACAAUGGGCGCAAGCCUGAUGGAGCAACACCGCGUGAGUGAAGAAGGGUUUCGGCUCGUAAAGCUCUGUUGUUAAAGAAGAACACGUAUGAGAGUAACUGUUCAUACGUUGACGGUAUUUAACCAGAAAGUCACGGCUAACUACGUGCCAGCAGCCGCGGUAAUACGUAGGUGGCAAGCGUUAUCCGGAUUUAUUGGGCGUAAAGAGAGUGCAGGCGGUUUUCUAAGUCUGAUGUGAAAGCCUUCGGCUUAACCGGAGAAGUGCAUCGGAAACUGGAUAACUUGAGUGCAGAAGAGGGUAGUGGAACUCCAUGUGUAGCGGUGGAAUGCGUAGAUAUAUGGAAGAACACCAGUGGCGAAGGCGGCUACCUGGUCUGCAACUGACGCUGAGACUCGAAAGCAUGGGUAGCGAACAGGAUUAGAUACCCUGGUAGUCCAUGCCGUAAACGAUGAGUGCUAGGUGUUGGAGGGUUUCCGCCCUUCAGUGCCGGAGCUAACGCAUUAAGCACUCCGCCUGGGGAGUACGACCGCAAGGUUGAAACUCAAAGGAAUUGACGGGGGCCCGCACAAGCGGUGGAGCAUGUGGUUUAAUUCGAAGCUACGCGAAGAACCUUACCAGGUCUUGACAUCUUGCGCCAACCCUAGAGAUAGGGCGUUUCCUUCGGGAACGCAAUGACAGGUGGUGCAUGGUCGUCGUCAGCUCGUGUCGUGAGAUGUUGGGUUAAGUCCCGCAACGAGCGCAACCCUUGUUACUAGUUGCCAGCAUUAAGUUGGGCACUCUAGUGAGACUGCCGGUGACAAACCGGAGGAAGGUGGGGACGACGUCAGAUCAUCAUGCCCCUUAUGACCUGGGCUACACACGUGCUACAAUGGACGGUACAACGAGUCGCGAACUCGCGAGGGCAAGCAAAUCUCUUAAAACCGUUCUCAGUUCGGACUGCAGGCUGCAACUCGCCUGCACGAAGUCGGAAUCGCUAGUAAUCGCGGAUCAGCAUGCCGCGGUGAAUACGUUCCCGGGCCUUGUACACACCGCCCGUCACACCAUGAGAGUUUGUAACACCCAAAGUCGGUGGGGUAACCUUUUAGGAGCCA